GAUGGGUCAAUCCUGUCAAACCUGCAGAAAGAAAGGCAGAAAUACACAGUAAGUUCAUGCAUCUAGAAAUCAGGACGCUUAAGAUAUUCAAUAACUAAAAUAAAUAAUAAAACAUUAUUCACAUAUGUUGCUGCUUACAAACUUCAAGUUAAAAUAAAUAUGAAUUACAUUUUUGUAUAAAAAUUGUAAACAUAGACUCCAAGACUAAGAAUCGUUCAAUCAUUGUUACCUGGAAUCCGACUUGGUAUGGGUAUGGCAAAAUGGUAUGCCAUUUAAUUAAAUAUAGGGCAUGUAAGGGGUAGGCUUAGUUGGUACUCUAGUUUGGAUCGCGAUAAGAGAAUUACAUUUAUCCAGUACGUGAAUGAUAUUUUUGUGGCACAAUUCAU
rnacentral:misc_RNA from 1 species